rnacentral:lncRNA from 10 species
GGGGUCAGUGGUGGAAGUGAGACCGAAAUAGACUCUGAAGUAAUAUCUGGACUUUGAAAUUGCGCCAACCCUGAGACAAAAAUUUGGAAGGUGGCCCUGAGCAGCAGCUGAAGGGAAGUGGGAGGCAGCUGCUCCCAACCCCAGAACCUUUGCUGUCUUGGGACGGAUCACCGCUGCAAGAGGGGAAGUUGCUACUGUGAUGAAUUCUGCCAUGUGGCACCAGACUGCCACCCAGACCACAGUGUCCUCUGCAACCCUGGUCAAAGGUGCCUACAUGCUCCUUCUAGCUUUGUUUCCCUGAUGUUCCUUGCCACCUGCUACUCCUCUCUGAGCUACUUUUCCAGCUUCUCAGAUGACCAAGAUGGUGCUGCAGAUGGUGCUGAGGAUGGAGAACCCACCAAGCCC